CUGUUCCCGUUUGCAACCUCAGAUUUUAGUUCAAGUCCCAGAAUGGUGUAUCAUUUCCUUCCAGCAAAACGAAAAGAGGACAUGUUAUGUAAAAUUAGAAUUCUUGUUUGAAAGCACUUAGUGAAAAUUCUAAAGAACCAGGAAGACUUCAGCCAGAAUCAGACGCUGUAACAGCAUGCUUAGUCCAAUAGCAGGACAUCAUGCAGUGGAGGAAGGAAACGAUACAGCUUAGGGAAGGCUGCAAACCCCAUGGCCAGAAGUCCCUGGCAGCAUGCCACGUCCCUCUGCCCUGACACUGAACAUCAGAUUUUGAAAAGUCUAUCAAUGGUGCCAAGUUGACCACAACCAACCAAGUCAUUUGACACUAUAUCAAAGCUUGAAGUGAAAACUUUUAAUUUCCAACAUUAUCUAGUCUUUUCACAGAACAUGAAGGGGUGGACAUUUUGACCUGCAGGACAGGCAAAUAUUGGACCUUAAUCCUUUUAAUUUAAAGCUUUUUAUAGCUUUUUAUCCCUCCUUCAAAAUAAAAACUUCCUGUGAUGCAUAUUCUUGAAAUAUGAGUUGGCUAUAACAUAUUCAAUUAGGAAACUUAGAGGAGAUUUCAAUUUAGGAAAUGAAAAAUGUGAAUGGAAGAGCAUGGGCCCAUUGAAUAAAGAGCAGGGAGGAACUGAGACAGAGAUCCUUGAAAACCGAUUUCAUCUACUUUACAAUAAUGUUUGAAACGAGUC
rnacentral:lncRNA from 1 species